rnacentral:rRNA from 1 species
AUUGAACGCUGGCGGCAGGCCUAACACAUGCAAGUCGAGCGAGCGGCGGACGGGGGAGUAAUGUCUGGGAAACUGCCGGAUGGAGGGGGGUAACUACUGGAAACGGUAGCUAAUACCGCAUACCAUCAGAUGUGCCCAGAUGGGAGUAGCUAGUAGGUGGGGAAACGGCUCACCUAGGCGACGAUCCCGAGCUGUUCUGAGAGGAGGACCAGCCGCACUGGAACUGAGACAGGUUCCAGGCUCCUACGGGAGGCAGCAGUGGGGAAUAUUGCACAAUGGGCGCGAGCCUGAUGCAGCCAUGCCGCGUGUGGGAAGGAGGCCUUCGGGUUGUAAAGCACUUUCAGCGGGGAGGCGUUACCCGCAGAAGAAGCACCGGCUAACUCCGUGCCGGCAGCCGCGGUAAUUC